UUUUGGCGCCCAUAUCGGACGGGGUAUAGAGACGGUCCUAGAAUCAGGUUGUAAAUGUUAAUGGUUCACGUGUAGAGGGGACCCCCUAUGGAUCCCCAAGGAUACUAGUAGGCUGGUAAAAGAGGAAAUCUGUUUUCUGAUAAUUGAAAUGUAAAGGCAUGAUAUAUGUUAUGUUAUAAAGUGUGUAUGAUUUCAUAAUAU
rnacentral:lncRNA from 1 species